AUGAACGCUGGCGGCGUGCCUCAUACCUGCCAGUCGAGCGAACAGACGAGGAGCUUGCUCCUCUGACGUUAGCGGCGGACGGGUGAGUAACACGUGGAUAACCUACCUAUAAGACUGGGAUAACUUCGGGAAACCGGAGCUAAUACCGGAUAAUAUAUUGAACCGCAUGGUUCAAUAGUGAAAGACGGUUUUGCUGUCACUUAUAGAUGGAUCCGCGCCGCAUUAGCUAGUUGGUAAGGUAACGGCUUACCAAGGCAACGAUGCGUAGCCGACCUGAGAGGGUGAUCGGCCACACUGGAACUGAGACACGGUCCAGACUCCUACGGGAGGCAGCAGUAGGGAAUCUUCCGCAAUGGGCGAAAGCCUGACGGAGCAACGCCGCGUGAGUGAUGAAGGUCUUCGGAUCGUAAAACUCUGUUAUUAGGGAAGAACAAAUGUGUAAGUAACUAUGCACGUCUUGACGGUACCUAAUCAGAAAGCCACGGCUAACUACGUG
rnacentral:rRNA from 1 species